GACGAACGCUGGCGGCGUGCCUAACACAUGCAAGUCGAGCGAGUGGAGUUCUUCGGAACAAAGCUAGCGGCGGACGGGUGAGUAACACGUGGGCAACCUGCCUCAUAGAGGGGAAUAGCCUCCCGAAAGGGAGAUUAAUACCGCAUAAGAUUGUAGCUUCGCAUAAAGUAGAAAUUAAAGGAGCAAUCCGCUAUGAGAUGGGCCCGCGGCGCAUUAGCUAGUUGGUGAGGUAACGGCUCACCAAGGCGACGAUGCGUAGCCGACCUGAGAGGGUGAUCGGCCACAUUGGGACUGAGACACGGCCCAGACUCCUACGGGAGGCAGCAGUGGGGAAUAUUGCACAAUGGGGGAAACCCUGAUGCAGCAACGCCGCGUGAGUGAUGACGGCCUUCGGGUUGUAAAGCUCUGUCUUCAGGGACGAUAAUGACGGUUCCUGAGGAGGAAGCCACGGCUAACUACGUGCCAGCCGCCGCAGUAAGAC
rnacentral:rRNA from 1 species